UAAUGGAUGACUGGCGGCUGCUUGGAAGCCAACAACUACCCCACCACCACCACUAUUGCCCGUAUUGCUUUGCAGCGUCUGCUAGCGAGAUGCAGUCGCCAGUCGCAGACUGACUGCAACAAUGCACAUUUGCUAUGAUAAUGCGAUAGAAUCAGAAGCUCUCGAUCACCAGCACAAGACGUUGUUUGCCGACAACCAACGAACAACGAUGAUGAUGGCGAUGACGAUGUCGAUGUCGACGACUACGGCGACACAGUAACGAAUGCAUUUUAACUUGGCAGUUGUAAGUGGAGCACAGCCAUAGCAAGUCAAGUGAAAACUAGUUUAGCUUCCGCAUACGGAGCUCUGCUGGGUCUAAUAUGGUGUGGUAUAGUGUGUGGUGAUUAGCAGUGCGGCUCAAGUCAAUGCUUGGAUAAAUUGAAGAAAUUCACUCACUCGCCACAGUGGCAGCCAGUAGUAGCACUUGAGGGAGGGGCACAGAAGCUUCAAGCAAUCAAGAAAGUAUGGGAGAAUGUGUGGAUUGUGACUAAUACACACUCACACAUAGAUACAGCAAAUAUCUACGGUCCUCUUCUCAAUCCCCAGGCAUAUGUUCCUGGUGUAGGGUACAUCAGCUAGCUGUCAGAAGUUGCAUUCGCUGUUAUUCACAUUAUUAACCACAAAACCCAGAAAUAUCAAUAAAGCAGCCACCAUACACACACAUAAACAUAGGGACAGCAAUUGAAGUAUGGGAUAAGAGGCUUUGCCGGGGAUUGGGGUAUUAAGGAAGUGGCUUUUUUCCAGAUGAUAGCCAGAGAUGUGCAUAUACAUUCGUAUAAAACCACAGCUAGAAUUGGCAGUAUGUAAAGCAGCGAACGGUAUUUUCCCAUGCCGCCAAUCGCAUGGACGGACACAUAGACUGUUACAGGUGGCGAUAAGCUUUAGUAAUUUCGAUGUUGAAUAAAUGCAAAGCGCCUGUUCUUUUUUUGAAGCUGCUUUAAAGAAAUAUUGAAAAA